rnacentral:lncRNA from 1 species
GCAGCCUACAUCAGCAACUGGGGCACAAUGCUACGUGUGGAGUGCACCUGUCAGAAUUCACCACCGGCAGAACAGUCGCUGUGCAAGCUCUUCCAUCACAUGCUGCACAGCACGUCCUGCUUCAGUCAGCUACGUCAAAUUUCAGUUAGGAAAGGUUUUCAUUGGCUGAAUACAGAAAUACCAGGAGAAAAGCUUUCCAGAACACAACUGCAUUCAUCUUCAAUUAAUGAGCCUGCAGAACAAAACACGAGUCAAGAAGUCCCUCGCCAGAUCAUUCUUCUGAAACAUUUAUGGUCCAUUAUAAAAGUCACAGAUGAAUUACUUUGUUGCUUAUGCUUUUUAAGGCUACUCUUGAAAGCCAGCCUGUUGUACAUAUGCGGUAAUAAAAUAUAUAAUAGAAAACUUACUAUAAAUUACGGAAUUU